GGGGUUGUAGCUCAGUGGUAGAGCACUCACCUUACAUGCGUGAGGCCCUGGGUUCGAUUCUCAGCACCA
rnacentral:tRNA from 1 species